rnacentral:lncRNA from 1 species
CCUUAGAGGCUAAAUGACAUGAGCUAAAGUUAGUAGAGCUGAAUGUAGAAUCAAUAGAUCUACUGAAUGGUUGCAUAUUUGCAUAGAGUUGCAUGAUAUACAUAUUGCAUAUUGCGAGGCAUGUUAUCUGUUAGUUGCAUAUAUGAUAUAUAUAUCUAUAGAUGUUUUUGGACUAACAUGAUUGCAGUGCCUCUUUGGACCUUUGGGUCGAGCUUUUCCCUUGGGUGGCCGUACCCACUGGGAACCAUGAAGUUGGUUCUCACCCCACGUUGUUUUGGGGUUUUACAGGUUCGCACGUGAGCGGCGCGGCGGCGCGAGGAAAGGGCGUAGAUCCAUAGAUAGCGCCCUACCCAGAGACCAGAGCUAGCAGUACCCCGUCGACAUAGCUUAGGGGUAUGGGGAAAGAAAAGAACACAAUGUAUCAAACUGUAAUAAGUAAAUGAUGUAAUAACUUAGAUUGUAUUUGGAGGAAUCAAAUGAGAACUGUGAUAUAAAAAUGUAUGAAUGUGAAUGUAUGUAAUAACAUAGGAUGUGUUAUGUUGUUGAUACCUUCCUUAUGCAAUCUGUUGUUAAGUACUGUUCCUGGUUGGAACCUUUGUAUUGUAUUGAUUGCGAUGCCUUGAACGUACAGGGGAGACUCUGUCCGCAGUACAGGGGAAACCCUGUCCGUUCGGCGCUGUCGGCGCCGCGACCUCGGCCAAAUAGGCGGGUGGUCGCG